AUGUUGGUGCGGAUGUCACAAGAGAAGUUGCUCAGAAUUGUUUGGAAUUGAAUAACAGCAGUGAGAAGCAGCCCCUCAUUGGCCCGCUAUAGAGAGCACCCACGGCUGACUACAUAAUUUGCAGGGUCGGAUGCAAAAUCAAAAGGUUUUGAAGUCCAACAGAGACGUCUGUAUGAGAAACAAGAGGCUACAGGACAAAAUAGAUUCAUCUUCAACAUUCCCUGCAUAUUAUCAGAGCUGAUAUAAAGGGGAAGAGGGAAGUACUGGUUUGGUGAUACAUUGCUGCCAUAUCCCAGGAGAAGACCUUCAAGCUUUACAUUUGGACUUGGACGCAAGAACUUCAAGAGGAUGGAGUCACUUGUGGUAUUGAUGUGGACUUUGAGGUUUGGCCUUUUACCUAACAAUGGGAAUGAAAAC
rnacentral:lncRNA from 1 species